UAGAAAGUGCUGUCCUUUAAGUAGCAUAAAGACAUGCAGACAUUCUCUUUAAGACAAUGAAAUUGGUGUGAGGGAACAUUUCUUCAAGUAGUAUGGUAGCACAAUGUUAUGUAAUUAAUGCGUUUUUCCAAAUGUUUAGUACUUUUCAGAAGCUUUAAGCAAGGGCACUUUUGUAAGAGAUUUUGGUACACAUACUGAGAUAAUUGAUUUGGAAGGCUCAGAUAUUAAAGCUGACAUGGAGCCUCGCCUUGUUCAGUGGCAAGGCAAGUUGGAUGAGCUACAUGUCUUUUUCAAGAAGUUGUGCAAGUCACGCAAAAAGUCACUAUUCACUAUCCACUAUUGUUUUUCUUGCGUUAGAUCUGCUUUUUUCGAUUCGAUUGCACCUUGACUAUUUUUGUACCGCUACUCCUCUUGCGUUAUAUUUAUUUAAAUGAGCAAUUUUUAAAAGACAGAAAAUGUCCUUCUUUCAAUAACGUGGCGGAAUAAAACAAUUACACAAAGAUGUUACUAUGAUACUUUUUGGUACGAAAUAUUUUAUUUUUGACCAGCACUGUUAUGCCUAAUUUUGUCCAUAAACGGACAAAGUUGCUCCGAUUUUGAGACGACAUUACAGCUUUUUGGCAGCGAUCGCCAAGAAACUGAAUGUGCCACGGAAUUACACCCAAUUAAGAAAGAUAUUUUCACCCUUCCAGCAGUCAUUAGAAAGCCGCUUUGUCCCCUCAAAAUCGGAUGUAGUUCACACGUUAAGGGUAAUAAACUGAUAAAAAAUGAUUUACAAUUAUCCUGUUGUCAAUAGGUUCUUAUUCACGUAAGCUGGGUCAUAAACUAUUUCUUGCGGCAGAAUCAUGGGGAAGAAGUUGUCCUUCAUUUUAAAAUCGCUGAAAUUGUAGUAACUAAACCUUGAAUGAAACUAUUGUAGGAAGAUUCAUUACUUGACGAGGGAAUUCCGCAUUUAAUUGCACGCGAAAAGCGAUACGCGAAGCGAUGAGUGCGAUAUCGGUUUUUAAGUGCAAUUUAACGCGGAAUUCACGAGCCAAGUAAUGGAUUUUCCUUGAAUCACAUAUUUGAAUAAAAACAAGAUAAAAAGAAAA